ensembl:lncRNA
GCUCACAGCUGUCCCCCAGAGAGGAUCCUCCCGCCGCACGUCUGUCCGCCCGCCCGCUAGGGCGCCGGCUGCGAAGCGCCGCGGUCCUCGCACGCCCGCCCCGCAGGCCGCGGGAGAAGGCGGCCCGGGCCGGCGGAGGCGCGGGGGCGCCCGGGAGCCGGGGCCGGGGGUCGGCGCGCCGCCGGCCGCAUUCGCCUCUCCACCGGAGUCCGGGCGGGCAGCGCGCACCCUGAGCGCGCCGUACCCGCGCGCAGACUUGGCGCCCCAGGAAGUUUCUGGAGACUUGGCCUCCAGGGAGGGAGACCGAUGCCAGGAGUCUCCCGACCCCCACCCUCGCCCAUAUUUUGACAACCAAAUGUCUCCAGACAUCACCAGAUGUCCCUGGAGGACAGAAUCAUCACCAGUGGAGAACCACGGCCAGAAAGAAAUAGUAUCUCCUUUUUCAUAAGCUGGAUGAAACUCUAAAAAGUCAGUUGUUUUGCCCAAAUACACCCGUCCCCUAAGUGACCUGUAAACCGGACAGUUACAGGACACUGCCAUGAAUGCUUUCAGUAAAAC